rnacentral:rRNA from 1 species
AACGAACGCUGGCGGCGUGCCUAACACAUGCAAGUCGAGCGGGAAAGUGGGAGCAAUCCUGCGAGUACAGCGGCGCACGGGUGAGUAACACGUAGGUAACCUACCUCCGAAACUGGGAUAACCUGUCGAAAGAUGGGCUAAUACCGGAUAAGACCACGAGAGCUUUGGUUCUUGGGGUAAAAGGGUGGCCUCUUCUUGAAAGCUACCGUUUGGGGAGUGGCCUGCGUGCCAUUAGCUAGUUGGU